GACGAACGCUGGCGGCGUGCUUAACACAUGCAAGUCGAACGGUGAAGCCCUUCGGGGUGGAUCAGUGGCGAACGGGUGAGUAACACGUGAGCAACCUGCCCCUGGCUCUGGGACAACCACUGGAAACGGUGGCUAAUACCGGAUACGACCCGCCUCGGCAUCGAGUGUGGGUGGAAAGUCUUUCGGCUGGGGAUGGGCUCGCGGCCUAUCAGCUUGUUGGUGAGGUGAAGGCUCACCAAGGCGACGACGGGUAGCCGGCCUGAGAGGGCGACCGGCCACACUGGGACUGAGACACGGCCCAGACUCCUACGGGAGGCAGCAGUGGGGAAUAUUGCACAAUGGGCGAAAGCCUGAUGCAGCGACGCCGCGUGAGGGAUGACGGCCUUCGGGUUGUAAACCUCUUUCAGCUCCGAAGAAGCGAAAGUGACGGUAGGAGCAGAAGAAGCACCGGCUAACUACGUG
rnacentral:rRNA from 1 species